rnacentral:tRNA from 1 species
GCCUCCUUAGCUCAGUGGUAGAGCUCCCGUCUUGUAAACGGAAGGUCCUCGGUUCAAUCCCGAGAGGAGGCCCC